ensembl:lncRNA
AUUAGAAAACGUGCGCACGGGUGAAUGUCUCUAAGAAGACACACACACUGAGCGCAGGCUUGGUUCUUUAUUUAUAGUGAAAGUAAGUUACAUAGUACUUCCUCUUUUAACUGUAAAGGGAGAGGUCAGGCAUUAUCUCAGCUUAUCUGACCUUGCACACAUACACUGAAAAUAACAAUGCAGAAGUAUAUCAUGCUUAUCUGACAUCACACACUGAGGUAAGGAAUGCAUUAUGUUCUCUUUAACAAUAAGCUUGGUUAUGUGAAAAUAUAUGAACACACAAAAUAUAAGGCACACUUGAUUAUAUUGUAUUAUAGAGAUUUGGUUAUAUUGUAUAAUGUAGAAAAAUCUCUUAACAUUUCCCUCCUGAUGUUAAUAUAUUUCACAGGUUUAAAUCAAUGCAUAGUCACUUGUUAAAUCACAUUUUCAACUUGCAUGUCAUUCAGUGAAGUAUUUAAACAACAGCUCCUAAUAAGAGUAGAGAUUCUCCACUCUUUCCUCCAUGUUCAGCAUAUCAUACUGGCGAAAGGGAUCCUCAACAUUUCUCUGGAUCAGGACAUAAUUUCCUAAAGUACGGUUAAACAUAUUCAUCACCAUGCUUCUCAGACAAGGGAUAAUGCAAGCAGCAAAAAUGCAAAAUAGUAACAUCAUACUGCAGAGGGCCAACAGUCCUUUAAUCAGCAAAGAUUUCCAGGAGCCGUUCAGCAACCAGUCCCACCAGCCUUGCUCAUCGGCUACGUAGUCCUGUUGCUGAGCGUCUCUCAGUUGUUUCAGAACAUUCAAAGCAUUUGUCAUGUUUAAUGAGUGUAUGUUGUCAGGUAUGUAGGUGCAACAUGUCUUGUUAAACAGUAUACAGAGACCUCCUUUCUCUGCAAGAAUAAUGUCUAAAGCUACUCGGUGUUGCAUGACAGUGAUGCGGAUUGCAUCAAUUUCUUCAUUCUGUGAUUUGUCAAUGCGGGUGGAAGCAUUCAAAAACAGUCCAAAGCGGUAAUCUAAAGUCUCUAUUCGUAGUGCGUGCUUUCCUACCCCUGUCCA